ensembl:lncRNA
AAGGCCAAAUAUGAAAUUUUCCCUGCCCGACUACUCCAGUGAAGACGAUGACAAUCGGAAUCUCCCCCCGCCUCCAAAAAUCCCAAGAGCACCAGCAAAAAAAAAAACUAUUCCAAAUUCAGAGUUGACCACCGUUACUGCUCUGCCAGUAGCACCACCGCUCUUCCGCUCCAGCCAUGCCGAGUUAACAAGUCAGACCACCACUCCUCCGUCAACUUCGCCCACAUCUCUGCCAGUACCACCCCAGCAAGAUUUUUACAGACUUGUUCUGCAGCACCUCCGCACAAUUGAGGAGGAGCUGAAGGAGGUGAAGCAGCAGGUGGCGGUCAACACAGCCAUGAUACAGAGACUAGGUGGUGGUGGUGUGGCAGAUCUCGGCCUUGUGGAAGACACCAACAUGCCAUUGAGCAAUGCCGAGGACCUGGACGAGCUGGAGAGGCGGCUUAUAUCUGAUGUGGACCUAAAAAAUCAACUGGUGAACAUACUUGCUAUUUUGGGAGGGAAAACCACCAAAGACGCAGUGAAGAGGAUGCUGGGCCGGGCUUUCAGGAGGUCCCUGGCGCUCCAAAUUAAUUGGACUGGCGCAGCUGGAAAGAUCGCUUUCAGGUUGCACAGAGCCGUUCGGAGAGUGGUAACCACAGCCAC